rnacentral:tRNA from 1 species
UGCCCGGUGCGCAGGUGACGGUUACUUCGAUAGGGGAUCGAGCGGUCGCAGGUUCGAGUCCUGCCCGGCCGGC